AAACAACUGAGGAGUCCCAUAAUAUGACGAAACAGCCGUCCAGUGU
rnacentral:hammerhead_ribozyme from 1 species